GGAAGUAAAAUCGUAACAAGGUUUCCGUAGGUGAACCUACGGAAGGAUCAUUAUUGUAUAACCGAGGUGCGAGGGCUGUCGCUGACCCGAAAGGUCGUGCACGCCCGAGUGCCCUCACACACAUCCAUCUCACCCCUAUGUGCACCACCGCGUGGGUCCCCCUUUGGCUUGUUCGGAGGGGGGCUUACGUUUUCACACAAACUUUGUAUGCAGUGUAGAAUGUAUUUUUUGUUCUUGCGAUCACGCAAUCAAUACAACUUUCAACAACGGAUCUCUUGGCUCUC
rnacentral:misc_RNA from 1 species